rnacentral:rRNA from 1 species
CCCUACACGACCGUACCGCAAACCGACACUGGUGCGCGAGAUGAGUAUUCUAAGGCGCUUGAGAGAACUCAGGAGAAGGAACUCGGCAAAUUGACACCGUAACUUCGGAAGGAGGUGUGCCUUUAGUAGGUGAACCAUUUACUUGGGGAGCCCAAUGAGGCUGCAAAAAAUCGGUGGCUGCAACUGUUUGUUAAAAACACAGCACUCUGCUAAGACGAAAGUCGACGUAUAGGGUGUGACGCCUGCCCGGUGCUGGAAGAUUAAAUGAUGGGGUGCAAGCACUUGAUUGAAGUCCCAGUAAACGGCGGCCGUAACUAUAACGGUCCUAAGGUAGCGAAAUUCCUUGUCGGGUAAGUUCCGACCUGCACGAAUGGCGUAAUGAUGGCCACACUGUCUCCUCCUGAGACUCAGCGAAGUUGAAAUGUUUGUGAUGAUGCAAUCUCCCCGCGGAAAGACGGAAAGACCCCAUGAACCUUUACUGUAGCUUUGUAUUGGACUUUGAACAGAUCUGUGUAGGAUAGGUGGGAGGCUUUGAAGUGUGGUCGCUAGAUCGCAUGGAGCCAACGUUGAAAUACCACCCUGGUGUGUUUGAGGUUCUAACCUAGGUCCAUUAUCUGGAUCGGGGACAGUGCAUGGUAGGCAGUUUGACUGGGGCGGUCUCCUCCCAAAGUGUAACGGAGGAGUUCGAAGGUACGCUAGGUACGGUCGGACAUCGUGCUAAUAGUGCAAUGGCAUAAGCGUGCUUAACUGCGAGACUGACAAGUCGAGCAGAUGCGAAAGCAGGACAUAGUGAUCCGGUGGUUCUGUAUGGAAGGGCCAUCGCUCAACGGAUAAAAGGUACUCUGGGGAUAACAGGCUGAUACCGCCCAAGAGUUCAUAUCGACGGCGGUGUUUGGCACCUCGAUGUCGGCUCAUCUCAUCCUGGGGCUGUAGCCGGUCCCAAGGGUAUGGCUGUUCGCCAUUUAAAGAGGUACGUGAGCUGGGUUUAAAACGUCGUGAGACAGUUUGGUCCCUAUCUUCCGUGGGCGCUGCAGAUUUGAGGAAGCCUGCUCCUAGUACGAGAGGACCGGAGUGGACGAACCUCUGGUGUAUCGGUUGUCACGCCAGUGGCAUUGCCGAGUAGCUAAGUUCGGAAGAGAUAACCGCUGAAAGCAUCUAAGUGGGAAACUCGUUUCAAGAUUAGAUCUGCCGGGGCCUUGAGCCCCCUAAAGAGUCGUUCAAGACCAGGACGUUGAUAGGUCAGGUGUGGAAGC